UAAAAAAUGGGUACAAGAGAAAGUGGUAUUUGACGUUAGCCAAGUACUGCUGCCUGAGAAGGGCCCCUGAGCCUUAGACCUGCGCGUUCCUUGUUUGUAAAGGGACACUGGCGAGUGUCAGACAGGUGCUGGAGAUGGACCGUCACUAACAAGACGUUUUCUUGGAUGUGACCGGCACAGAGGAACGAGAGGGUGGAAGGAGCCAGCUCCCUCGGGCCAUUGCGUCCAUUACCCACAGGCCACACAGGCCCUCACCCGCCCUGGGGGGAAACACUGGCCCCGAGGCCCCCGAGGAGCCCUGUCUUGCUGGACCGUGUCUGCACCAGGGAUCCUCCCACAGGACUCGGCUACGGGCACAAUUUGAAAGGUAAAUCGGGGACACACAUUUCAGGUGUGUUAAUGCAAAACGCAGAUCUCUGGUGCUCAAGGCGAACCCUGAGCUCAGGCACCUUGAGGGGCCCCGGGAACACCUGUGCGCCCUGGGACCACGUGCUGUGCAGCCCCGGAUGCCAAGGGGUCCAAGAUCUAGCUCAGACCCCCCCGGCCACCAGCACUGUGGGCUCAGGAGACUCUAUCCUCGCCUUGCAGGAGCUCGGAGGCGUGGGAGGAGGCCCUAGAGGUCACCCGCAGAGCACAGCAGCCUUUGAGAACAAGGGUAGCCUGAUAAAGUGUCCUGGAACAUUCUGAACUCGCUAAGUUCUAUCCCGGUGGGGCUUUGUCUGCAGAGGCAGUCAUUAAAAGGGACAGAAAGCACGAACCCAGGUCCCUCUGGCUCCCCUCUGCUGCCUGUCCCGGCAGCUCUAGGGGCUCAGAAUAGGCACUUCACACUUUUAUGGUCAAUCACGGUCCUCCGGCAUAGUGUUUGGAGCCCCUCCGCCCAAGAACUGAAAUGGAGGAGCUGGUGCGGACACACCCCCUCUCUCCACGGACUUCAGCUGGCUCUAUGGACAUCUCACUUUGGGGAAAGUGUGUCUCCUCCUGAGAUCAGAAGAGAAGUGAAGAGAGAGAGAGACAGAAACUUUCUCCAUGUCGUUGGAGACAGGAAGCUCCCCCGCUGCCACACGAGACUUGACACCCCAGUCUGGUGUCUGGCCCGGAAAAGGGACCAUCAGACAUGGUAUCUGAAAACAACAUAGCUUAGCGAGCGUGCUGUAUUUGAAGAACACUUAAAAUCCUAUGUUCACUGCUAUUUUGGCGAAUUUUGCAUAUGUGUCAGUUGAAUCAUUUGAAACUGCCCAUGUUCUUCCUUUUUUGACUUCCCAAGAUGUCCAUUUCCACCUAAUGACAACUGACACCACACCUCAGAAAUGAUGCAAACAUGUUGCAACAAAGUAGGCUGAUUCCACUGUUUCGCAUGAGAAAGAGGAUUUUGCUGAAGGUUAAGGAGGUCAGGCUUGGUUACAGACAGUGGCUGUGUGAGCUGUUGUGAUCUGUCAGACGCUGUGGCCAGGUGAGGAUGAGUAUUCAGUGCGGCAGGUGUGGGCUGACAGCUGGCUUACCGAAGAAGAGAAUCAUGAGGUCAGAGUGGUCCCAGGAAGAGACUCAGCCCAGAGACGUCCAAACUUCCUGGAAGGCAGAGCUUCAUGGGGGAUUAAGCUUGGCAGUUGUAAUUCCACCCUAGGCGGGGAGAGCCCCUUUGCAGCAGAGCAGACGGCUCUGGACUCUGCACGGCUGCCUGCUGACCUUUCCCUGGGUCACUUCAUCAGCUUCCCGCACCUCUCACAGCGCUCAGUGCCGUGUUGGGGGUGCGCAGGCCCUCCACUCAAGCUGCCACCGUCGUGGCAGGAUCUCUGUGCUCCAACAGCACUGCUUUGCUAACCUCUGAUGUGAACUGAGAUGUUGGCCUCGGGGGCCGGGACACCGUCCAGCUCAGUGCAAGCACCUGCUGGCUGGUCCAGGCAAAUUGUGAAGGGCCGACUCGGGGCCACAAACCUCCCCCCUGUUCCUCACUCUUUGUGUCUCCCCGGCAAGGUGACUCGGAGUUUCAAUUCCAUCUUUGUCUUUUUUAGAGUAUCUGCGGCCUUUGAAGGCAGCUGCUGGGGAAUCGGAUUCCCCUGCACAGGUCCCGGGCAUUCUCCCAAAACGCUGGUGGACGCGGGAGGCUCUCCCUGGGGUUACAGAUUCACAGAUAAGCCACACGGAGCAACAUGCGUUUACCGUCCAAAGGCUGCCCUUCUGGCGGUGGUGAUGGGAGCGCUGGGCCAGGAGAACAGAGACCCUCAUUCACAAGCACUUACUUGGGUCGGCUUAUUCCGCCGGUGAUAACUCAGGCGUCUGGACAGGCAGAUGCCGGCGGUGUCAGGUUCUCUCUAGAAGCCACUGGAAAUUGCUCAGAGAGCUUGGAGUUAGAGACUAGGUUUUGAGUAGAAAAAGAUGGAGUCUGGACUUCCCCGCCCUCCCUUAGAGCCCUGAGCCCUAAGGACACCAUCUGAGGACACCCCGGGGCACCCUAAGUUCCAGGAAAGGCAGACAGCAGAGUGAGGAGAAGCCCCCCUCCGUGCCGGGGGCUCCACGGCACAGGCGUUGCCGAAACUGCGGGCAGGGACGUGCCAGGCCCCCCGGCGCCCGCAGAGCCCAACACUGUCCAGACCCAGGGCCUUGGCUGCCCAGCAUUUCCCUAUAAAAAUCAUUUGAGUUUCAUUGUGGACUCACUUGUGCGGUCCUUCUGCAUCCGCUUCCAUAAAGAAGCAAGUGUCUUUGCCAGGUGGAGGGCAUGGGAACUGCCCAGGCCUGCCCAGUGCCCGCCCUGCCAGUAUGAGGGUGGAGGUGGGCUCAGAAGGUCCACCCGGUGGAGACUUCACAUUCCGGAAGGACCCCACUUCAGGGGAGUCGCUACAGUAGCUUCAAACACAGCUAUGUGUGCAGCGCGGGGUCCAUCAUGGCAGAGAGACGCCCGCCAAGCCUCCCGCCUGUAAUGCACAACGUUAUUCGUCAAUCCUGUAAUUGCCACGUGACUAGGAAGAUUGUAUUGCAUCGAGGGUGUUUUUGUGUUAAAGACAAUAAACGCAGACCUUCAAAUUAUCAACAA